AUGAAGAAGAUCGAUAGCCUGCGGCAUGCCUACCUUUGGGCGGGUUGUGAUAAGGUGACCGGCGGAAAGUGCAAGGUUAAUUGGGACCUCGUCUGCAAGCCCAAGAUCUAUGGUGGACUAGGAGUGCUCAACCUCCAGAAGUUUGCGACCGCGCUACGCUUGAGUUGGCUCUGGUACGAAUGGGAUGAUCCACCUAAGAUUUGGUCUGGCUCAGGAACGCCUUGUACUAGCAACGACAAAGAUCUCUUCACCGCUACCACACGGGUGUACAUCGGAGAUGGAAACAAAACUAAGUUCUGGGAAUCUCCAUGG
rnacentral:rRNA from 1 species